rnacentral:rRNA from 2 species
UGGCGGCGUGCCUAAUACAUGCACAUACCGAACACGGAAGUUAAGCUCUUCAGCGCCGAUGGUAGUUGGGGGUUUCCCCCUGUGAGAGUAGGACGCCGCCAAGCU